UAACCUACCUUUCAGUGAGGAAUACCGGCGAGAAAUCGCCGACAAGACCGCAUACGCUUCUCUGGGGAAGGCCGGAGAAGGAAAGCUUCUGCGAAAGCAAGAGGUGCUGGAAGAUGGGCCUGUGGCCGAUUAGCUAGUUGGUGAGGUAAGGGCUCACCAAGGCGACGAUCGGUAGCUGGUCUGAGAGGACGAUCAGCCACACUGGGAUUGAGAACGGCCCAG
rnacentral:rRNA from 1 species